GGCGGUUCUCAAGUGAUGCACCCGGAAUCAGGCUCCUUCCUCUCUGAUUCCAGGUGUAUCACCUGAGAACCACA
rfam:Myotis lucifugus cont2.37864, whole genome shotgun sequence.